rnacentral:rRNA from 1 species
GUAGCUGGUCUGAGAGGAUGAUCAGCCACACUGGGACUGAGACACGGCCCAGACUCCUACGGGAGGCAGCAGUGGGGAAUAUUGGACAAUGGGGGCAACCCUGAUCCAGCAAURCCGCGUGUGUGAAGAAGGCCUGAGGGUUGUAAAGCACUUUCAGUGGGGAGGAGGAUUGCUAGGUUAAGAGCUAGGUAAUUGGACGUUACCCACAGAAGAAGCACCGGCUAACUCCGUGCCAGCAGCCGCGGUAAUACGGAGGGUGCGAGCGUUAAUCGGAAUUACUGGGCGUAAAGGGUGCGUAGGUGGUUAGAUAAGUUAGCUGUGAAAUUCCUGGGCUCAACCUGGGACGGUCAGCUAAGACUGUUUGACUCGAGUAUGG